UGCGUUUUGACUCCUAUUUAACUA
rnacentral:rasiRNA from 1 species